rnacentral:rRNA from 1 species
UACGUAGGGGGCUAGCGUUGUCCGGAAUCAUUGGGCGUAAAGGGCGUGUAGGCGGCCCGGUAAGUCCGCUGUGAAAGUCGGGGGCUCAACCCUCGAAUGCCGGUGGAUACUGUCGGGCUAGAGUCCGGAAGAGGCGAGUGGAAUUCCCGGUGUAGCGGUGAAAUGCGCAGAUAUCAGGAGGAACACCGAUGGCGAAGGCAGGUCUCUGGGCCAUAACUGACGCUGAGAAGCGAAAGCAUGGGGAGCGAACAGG